rnacentral:tRNA from 2 species
GGGUCGUUAGCUCAGUUGGUAGAGCAUUUGACUUUUAAUCAAUUGGUCGCAGGUUCGAAUCCUGCACGACCCACCA